GUCGAACGGCAGCACGGAGCUUGCUCUGGUGGCGAGUGGCGAACGGGUGAGUAAUAUAUCGGAACGUACCCUAGAGUGGGGGAUAACGUAGCGAAAGUUACGCUAAUACCGCAUACGAUCUAAGGAUGAAAGUGGGGGAUUCGCAAGAACCUCAUGCUCGUGGAGCGGCCGAUAUCUGAUUAGCUAGUUGGUAGGGUAAAAGCCUACCAAGGCAUCGAUCAGUAGCUGGUCUGAGAGGACGACCAGCCACACUGGAACUGAGACACGGUCCAGACUCCUACGGGAGGCAGCAGUGGGGAAUUUUGGACAAUGGGCGAAAGCCUGAUCCAGCAAUGCCGCGUGAGUGAAGAAGGCCUUCGGGUUGUAAAGCUCUUUUGUCAGGGAAGAAACGGUGGUUUCUAAUACAGAUCACUAAUGACGGUACCUGAAGAAUAAGCACCGGCUAACUACGUGCCAGCAGCCGCGGUAAUACGUAGGGUGCAAGCGUUAAUCGGAAUUACUGGGCGUAAAGCGUGCGCAGGCGGUUUUGUAAGUCUGUCGUGAAAUCCCCGGGCUCAACCUGGGAAUUGCGAUGGAGACUGCAAGGCUAGAGUUUGGCAGAGGGGGGGUAGAAUUCCACGUGUAGCAGUGAAAUGCGUAGAUAUGUUGGAGGAACACCGAUGGCGAAGGCAGCCCCCUGGGUCAAGACUGACGCUCAUGCACGAAAGCGUGGGGGAGCAAACAGGAUUAGAUACCCCUGGUAGUCCACGCCCUAAACGAUGUCUACUAGUUGUCGGGGUUUUAAUUAACUUGGUAACGCAGCUAACGCGUGAAGUAGACCGCCUGGGGGAGUACGGUCGCAAGAUUAAAACUCAAAGGAAUUGACGGGGACCCGCACAAGCGGUGGA
rnacentral:rRNA from 1 species